GUGGGGAAUUUUGGACAAUGGGCGAAAGCCUGAUCCAGCAAUGCCGCGUGUGUGAAGAAGGCCUUCGGGUUGUAAAGCACUUUUGUCCGGAAAGAAAUCCUUUGGGUUAAUACCUCGGAGGGAUGACGGUACCGGAAGAAUAAGGACCGGCUAACUACGUGCCAGCAGCCGCGGUAAUACGUAGGGUCCGAGCGUUAAUCGGAAUUACUGGGCGUAAAGCGUGCGCAGGCGGUUUUGUAAGACAGAUGUGAAAUCCCCGGGCUUAACCUGGGAAUUGCAUUUGUGACUGCAAGGCUAGAGUGUGUCAGAGGGGGGUAGAAUUCCACGUGUAGCAGUGAAAUGCGUAGAGAUGUGGAGGAAUACCGAUGGCGAAGGCAGCCCCCUGGGAUAACACUGACGCUCAUGCACGAAAGCGUGGGGAGCAAACAGGAUUAGAAACCCGUGUAGUCC
rnacentral:rRNA from 1 species